GAUUUCUGGUAUGGCGCACUUGGCCCGCUUCGGUUACGGAGUUGUAGUGCCGGUGUGCGCCUGCCAUCCUUUUGGACUUAGGCUUCUCCCUUCAGUGGGUUGGGCUCAAAUCCAAAUCAUUUACUUUGAAAAAAUUAGAGUGUUUAAAGCAGGCUUACGCUAUGAAUACAUUAGCAUGGAAUAAUAAUUUAGGACUUUGGUCUUAUUUUGUUGGUUUCUAGGACUAAAGUAAUGAUUGAUAGGGAUAGUUGGGGGUGCUAGUAUUCAGCGGCCAGAGGUGAAAUUCUUGGAUUCGCUGAAGACUAACUUAUGCGAAAGCAUU
rnacentral:rRNA from 1 species